rnacentral:misc_RNA from 1 species
GUAGGUCAGCGUCAGCCGGAAGCGGAUCGUCUGCAUCCAGUCCGGUGUCCAGGACGGCAUCCGGAUGGAUGCCUUCGGCAACUUCAUCACGUGGCUCGCAAUCGGUAGCCGCGACCGAUCACCGUUUCCAGCAAGGGUUCCUCGCCUUGGGCGGUGAGCUUGCGCCGCAGAGUCCCUACCGUGACGCGGACGCUCUGGGUGAAGGGAUCAGCGUUCUCGUCCCAGACGUGCUCGAGCAGUUCUUCAGCCGACACCACGUGACCCGGCCGCG